rnacentral:rRNA from 1 species
UCCCAGACUCCUACGGGAGGCAGCAGUGGGGAAUAUUGGACAAUGGGGGGAACCCUGAUCCAGCGACGCCGCGUGAGUGAAGAAGUAUUUCGGUAUGUAAAGCUCUAUCAGCAGGGAAGAUAAUGACGGUACCUGAGUAAGAAGCCCCGGCUAACUACGUGCCAGCAGCCGCGGUAAUACGUAGGGGGCAAGCGUUAUCCGGAUUUACUGGGUGUAAAGGGAGCGUAGACGGCAUGGCAAGUCUGAAGUGAAAGCCCGGGGCUCAACCGCGGGACUGCUUUGGAAACUGUUAAGCUGGAGUGCAGGAGAGGUAAGUGGAAUUCCUAGUGUAGCGGUGAAAUGCGUAGAUAUUAGGAGGAACACCAGUGGCGAAGGCGGCUUACUGGACUGUAACUGACGUUGAGGCUCGAAAGCGUGGGGAGCAAACAGGAUUAGAUACCCCCGUA